GCUGACUCUUCGGACUCAGCCGGCCUGCACCCAGGUGAAAUAAACAGCCAUGUUGCUCACACAAAGCCUGUUUGGUGGUCUCUUCACAUGGACGCGCAUGAAAUUUGGUGCCGUGACUUGGAUAGGGGGACCUCCCUUGGGAGAUCAAUCCCCCGUCCUCCUGCUCUUUGCUCCAUAAGAAAGAUCCACCUACGACCUCACGUCCUCAGACCGACCAGCCCAAGAAACAUCUCAGCAAUUUCAAAUCCGGUUCCAAACCUUAUGAAUCUACUGUAGCUGAUCUAGAUACACUUCAGGUCUCAGCUGAGAACUCACAUCCUUCUGAAGCUUAUAAGACUUGGGCAAAAUCCAACUUGAAUCAAUUAGUGAAACAGAAUGAAUCCACCUUUUCACCACUUCAAUCAAAUGCCAGUUAGUAGCAAUUAGUACUCACUGAAGAUGAUAUACGAUCCUGAAAAUUCUAAUCAGGGAAAAAAAAUCCUGGGGAGAAAUUCAAGCUAGCUGAAGAAAUUUGCAUAAGUAAUGGGGAACCAAAUGUUAAUCACCAAGACAAUGGGGAAAAUGUCUCCAGGGCAUUUCAGAGAUCCUAGAGGCAGCUUUUCCCAUCACAGGCCUGGAGGCCUAAGAGGGAAAAAGUGGUUUCUUGGGUUAACCUUGGGAUGUGGCAUCCUGCAUCCCAGUCACUCCAGCUCCAGCCACGGAUACAAGGGCCAAGGUACAGCUCAGCCCAUUGCUUCAAAGGGUGGAAGCCCUAAACGUUGACAGCUUCCAUGUGGUGUUGAGCCUGCGAAUGCACAGAAGACAAGAGUUGAGGUUUGAGUACCUCCACCUAGAUUUCAGAGGAUAUAUGGAAAUACCUGGAUGUCUAGGCAGAAGUGUGCUGCAGGGGCAGAGCCCUCAUGGAGAACCUUUGCUAAGGCAGUGUGGAAGGGAAAUGUGUGGGUUGGAUACCCCACAGAGAGUCCCCACUGGGGCACUGCCUAAUGGAGCUGUGAGAAGAGAUCCGAUAUCCUCCAGACCCCAGAAUGGUAGAUCCACCUACAGCUUGCCCCAUGCACCUGGAAAAGCCACAGACACUCAACACCAGCCCAUAAAAGCAGCCAGGAGGGGGACUGUACGCGGCAGAGCCACAGGAUGGAGCUUUCCACAACUGUGGGAGCCCACUCCUUGCAUCGGCAUGCCCUGGAUGUGAGACAUGGAGUCAAAGGAGAUUUUGGACCUUUAAAAUUUAAUGACUGCCCAGCAGGGUUUCAGACUUGCAUGGGGCCUGUGGCCCCUUUGUUUUGGCCAGUUUCUUCCAUUUUGAAUCGGAACAUUUACCCAAUGAUUCUACCCUCACUGUGUCUUGGAAGUAACUAACACCUGCUUAUUGAUUUUACAGGCUCAUAGGUGGAAGGGACUUGUCUUUUCUCAGGUGAAACUUUGGACUUGGACUUUUGAGUUAAUGCUGGAUGAGAUAAAACUUUGGGGGCUUUUGGGAAGGCAAUGACUGGUUUUGAAAUGUCAAGACAUGAGAUUUGGGAUGUGCCAGGGGUGGAAUGAUAUGAUUUGGCUCUGUGCCCCCACCCAAAUCUCACUUCAAAUUGUAAUCCCCAUGUGAUGUGGGAGGGACCAGGUGAGAGGUGAUUGGAUCAUGGGGGUGGUUUUCCCCAUGCUGUUCUCAUGACAGUGGGGAGUUCUCAUGCGAUCCGAUGGUUUAAAAGUGAAAGUUUCCCCUGUGCUCUCUCUCUU
rnacentral:lncRNA from 1 species